UACGUAGGGGGCAAGCGUUGUCCGGAAUUAUUGGGCGUAAAGCGCGCGCAGGCGGUACGUUAAGUCAGAUGUGAAAGGCUACAGCUCAACUGUAGAGUGGCAUUUGAAACUGGCGAACUUGAGUGCAGGAGAGGGGAGUGGAAUUCCCGGUGUAGCGGUGGAAUGCGUAGAGAUCGGGAGGAACACCAGUGGCGAAGGCGACUCUCUGGCCUGCAACUGACGCUGAGGCGCGAAAGCGUGGGGAGCGAAC
rnacentral:rRNA from 1 species